ACGCUCGACACCUACGGGAGGCAGCAGUUAGGAAUAUUCGUCAAUGGGGGAAACCCUGAACGAGCAAUGCCGCGUGUGUGAUGAAGGCCCUCUGGGUUGUAAAACACUGUUGUUUGGAAAGAAUUGUAUAAGUAGGAAAUGACUUAUACUUGACGGUACCAUUCAAGAAAGCCACGGCUAACUACGUGUCAGCAGCCGCGGUAAUCUGAGGCGGGCUGGCAAGGC
rnacentral:rRNA from 1 species